rnacentral:lncRNA from 1 species
GAGAACAGCCAUCAAGAAAUCAAGGCCACAUGGGAUCUUCCAGAAAGAAUUACGAGCAUCCUACCACAGCGAUGUAUGCACUCCCAUGUUUGUUUGUUUUUGUUUCUUUGGUACCAGGGAUUGAACUCAAGCCCUUGUACUUGAGAGGCCGGCAGUGGCACCACUGAGCUAAAUCCCUGGCCCUAUGUGUACACCCAUGUUUACAGCGGCACAGUCUGUUACAGCUGAAUCUAGGAAACAGCCCAACGAAUGGAUAAAGAAGAUUGGGGUUUUGUACAAUGGAGUACUACUCUGCCGUAAGGAAGGAUGCAUUUGAGACAUCACUUGUUCUCCUGCCUCAGGGCCUUUGCACAUGCCAUUUGCCUCACCCCAUCCUUCUGGACCCAGCCCUCUUCCUCCCUCAGGUCUGAGCUCAUGCAUCCUUACCUUGGAGCCUCCCUGCCACCUCCUCUUUCUGACCUCUCGUCCUCACCCCCAUCACCAUGUCAGUUUGUUCGCAGGUUGUCAUCUGACCUCUCACUGGAGUAUAAGCCCAUGACGCAGGUCUUGUCCUCUCUGCUGAUAUCACCUCAGUAUCCACCACAGUGCCUAGCCUAUACAGCCAGUGAGGGGGCGCACGCCUAUAAUCCCAGCACUCGGGAGGCUGAGGCAGGAGGAUCGCCAUGAGUUCAAGGCCAGCCUGGGCUACACAGUGAGUGCAAGGCCUGCCUGACACACACAAGACUACACACUUACACAUGAGACUGUCCCAAACUAACACAAGGAAAUUAUAUCUAUAUCUGUCUC